AGUCGAGCGAGCAAAGUUAAAGGAAUACUUCGGUAGGAAUUUAAUAGCGCGAGCGGCGGAUGGGUGAGUAACACGUGGGCAAUCUACCCUUUAGCUUGGGAUACCACUUGGAAACAGGUGCUAAUACCAAAUAAGAAGUAAGAGCGCAUGCUCAAGCUAUGAAAGGCGGCUUUCGAGCUGUCACUAAAGGAUGAGCCCGCGGUGCAUUAGCUAGUUGGUAAGGUAACGGCUUACCAAGGCAAUGAUGCAUAGCCGAGUUGAGAGACUGAUCGGCCACAUUGGGACUGAGACACGGCCCAAACUCCUACGGGAGGCAGCAGUAGGGAAUCUUCCACAAUGGACGCAAGUCUGAUGGAGCAACGCCGCGUGAGUGAAGAAGGUUUUCGGAUCGUAAAGCUCUGUUGUUGGUGAAGAAGGACAUGGAUAGUAACUGAUCUAUGUUUGACGGUAAUCAACCAGAAAGUCACGGCUAACUACGUGCCAGCAGCCGCGGUAAUACGUAGGUGGCAAGCGUUGUCCGGAUUUAUUGGGCGUAAAGCGAACGCAGGCGGGAGAACAAGUCAGCUGUGAAAGCCCUCGGCUUAACCGAGGAACGGCAACUGAAACUGUUUUUCUUGAGUGCAGAAGAGGAGAGUGGAACUCCAUGUGUAGCGGUGAAAUGCGUAGAUAUAUGGAAGAACACCAGUGGCGAAGGCGGCUCUCUGGUCUGUAGCUGACGCUGAGGUUCGAAAGCAUGGGUAGCGAACAGGAUUAGAUACCCUGGUAGUCCAUGCCGUAAACGAUGAGUGCUAAGUGUUGGGAGGUUUCCGCCUCUCAGUGCUGCAGCUAACGCAUUAAGCACUCCGCCUGGGGAGUACGACCGCAAGGUUAAAACUCAAAGGAAUUGAC
rnacentral:rRNA from 1 species